UUCAGCCUUAAAAAAUAAAAAAAUUCUGUCACCUGUGACAAUAUGAGUUAAUUUGGAGGAUACUAUGCCAAGUGAAAUAAAGCCAAGCACAGAAAGACAAAUACCCCACAAUUUCAUUAUAUGUGUAAUCUAAAAAUGUUUAACUCAGAAGUGGAAUUAGGAAGUUAAAU